ACGCUGGCGGCAGGCCUAACACAUGCAAGUCGAGCGGUAGAGAGAAGCUUGCUUCUCCUGAGAGCGGCGGACGGGUGAGUAAUGCCUAGGAAUCUGCCUGGUAGUGGGGGAUAACGUUCGGAAACGGACGCUAAUACCGCAUACGUCCUACGGGAGAAAGCAGGGGACCUUCGGGCCUUGCGCUAUCAGAUGAGCCUAGGUCGGAUUAGCUAGUUGGUGGGGUAAUGGCUCACCAAGGCGACGAUCCGUAACUGGUCUGAGAGGAUGAUCAGUCACACUGGAACUGAGACACGGUCCAGACUCCUACGGGAGGCAGCAGUGGGGAAUAUUGGACAAUGGGCGAAAGCCUGAUCCAGCCAUGCCGCGUGUGUGAAGAAGGUCUUCGGAUUGUAAAGCACUUUAAGUUGGGAGGAAGGGUUGUAGAUUAAUACUCUGCAAUUUUGACGUUACCGACAGAAUAAGCACCGGCUAACUCUGUGCCAGCAGCCGCGGUAAUACAGAGGGUGCAAGCGUUAAUCGGAAUUACUGGGCGUAAAGCGCGCGUAGGUGGUUAGUUAAGUUGGAUGUGAAAUCCCCGGGCUCAACCUGGGAACUGCAUUCAAAACUGACUGACUAGAGUAUGGUAGAGGGUGGUGGAAUUUCCUGUGUAGCGGUGAAAUGCGUAGAUAUAGGAAGGAACACCAGUGGCGAAGGCGACCACCUGGACUGAUACUGACACUGAGGUGCGAAAGCGUGGGGAGCAAAC
rnacentral:rRNA from 1 species